rnacentral:rRNA from 1 species
UUUCGCAAUGCCCGAAAGGGUGACGAAGCGACGCCGCGUGUGGGAAGAAGGCCUUAGGGUUGUAAACCACUGUCGGGAGUUAGGAAAUGUAAGGGUGCUAAUAGUAUCCUUACUUGACUAAGGCUCCGGAGGAAGCCACGGCUAACUCUGUGCCAGCAGCCGCGGUAAUACAGAGGCGGCAAGCGUUGUUCGGAAUUAUUGGGCGUAAAGAGCACGUAGGCGGCCUUGUAAGUCAGUUGUGAAAGCCUUCUGCUUAACGGAAGAACAGCAGCUGAUACUGCAAGGCUAGAGUGCGGAAGGGGAGAGUGGAACUUCUGGUGGAGCGGUGAAAUGCGUAGAUAUCAGAAGGAACACCGGCGGCGAAGGCGACUCUCUGGUCCGUAACUGACGCUGAGUGUGCGAAAGCUAGGGGAGCAAACGGGAUUAGAUACCCCGGUAGUCCUAGCCGUAAACGAUGGGCACUAAGUAGAGGGGUUUUA